rnacentral:rRNA from 1 species
CAUGCAAGUCGACGAGACCUUCGGGUCUAGUGGCGCACGGGUGCGUAACGCGUGGGAAUCUGCCCUUAGGUUCGGAAUAACUCAGGGAAACUUGAGCUAAUACCGGAUGAUGACUUCGGUCCAAAGAUUUAUCGCCUAAGGAUGAGCCCGCGUAGGAUUAGCUAGUUGGUGAGGUAAAGGCUCACCAAGGCGACGAUCCUUAGCUGGUCUGAGAGGAUGAUCAGCCACACUGGGACUGAGACACGGCCCAGACUCCUACGGGAGGCAGCAGUGGGGAAUAUUGGACAAUGGGGGCAACCCUGAUCCAGCCAUGCCGCGUGAGUGAUGAAGGCCUUCGGGUUGUAAAGCUCUUUUGGCGGGGACGAUGAUGACGGUACCCGCAGAAUAAGCCCCGGCUAACUUCGUGCCAGCAGCCGCGGUAAGACGAAGGGGGCUAGCGUUGUUCGGAAUUACUGGGCGUAAAGCGUGUGCAGGCGGCUCAUUGCGCCCGGCGUGAAAGCCCCCGGCUCAACCGGGGAGGGUCGUCGGGGACGGGUGAGCUUGAGGGUAUCAGGGGCAGGUAGAAUUCCCGGUGUAGUGGUGAAAUGCGUAGAGAUCGGGAGGAAUACCCGUGGCGAANGCGGCCUGCUGGGAUACACCUGACGCUGA